rnacentral:rRNA from 1 species
UACUCGAGUGGCUAACGGGUGAGUAACACGUGGGUGAUCUGCCCUGCACUUCGGGAUAAGCUUGGGAAACUGGGUCUAAUACCGGAUAGGAGCCAUCUUUAGUGUGGUGGUUGGAAAGUUUUUUCGGUGUAGGAUGAGCUCGCGGCCUAUCAGCUUGUUGGUGGGGUAAUGGCCUACCAAGGCGGCGACGGGUAGCCGGCCUGAGAGGGUGUACGGCCACAUUGGGACUGAGAUACGGCCCAG